GAGUUUGAUCCUGGCUCAGAUUGAACGCUGGCGGCAUGCCUUACACAUGCAAGUCGAACGGCAGCAUGAUCUAGCUUGCUAGAUUGAUGGCGAGUGGCGAACGGGUGAGUAAUACAUCGGAACGUGCCCUGUAGUGGGGGAUAACUAGUCGAAAGAUUAGCUAAUACCGCAUACGACCUGAGGGUGAAAGUGGGGGACCGCAAGGCCUCAUGCUAUAGGAGCGGCCGAUGUCUGAUUAGCUAGUUGGUGGGGUAAAGGCCCACCAAGGCGACGAUCAGUAGCUGGUCUGAGAGGACGAUCAGCCACACUGGGACUGAGACACGGCCCAGACUCCUACGGGAGGCAGCAGUGGGGAAUUUUGGACAAUGGGCGAAAGCCUGAUCCAGCAAUGCCGCGUGUGUGAAGAAGGCCUCGG
rnacentral:rRNA from 1 species